rnacentral:sRNA from 1 species
GCCAAAAGGAAAUUGGGUAAAGGUCAAUCGGAAAGGUCAACUCAAAAUGACAUUUUAAUUGACUGCCCUAUCGAGAUGCGGUUAUGUCCUUGACGGUAUUCCAUUUCCAGGCACUUAUAAUUAGAAUGUGUCCUUCAAGGCAUUUAUUUCAAACUUUAUAAGCUUUACAACACUAAUUGAAAGUGCAUUUGGAGUGGCAUUAAUUUAAACAGUUUCUCGGUUACAGCAUUAAUUUUAUUAAUGAUUGAUGAUUGGAGACCCAUUGAAGAAAAAUACAGAACAUUAUCUCAACAUAGUAUCUAUUUAUAAGCCGACAUGGUCAUACGCUGACAGAAAGACAUUCCCCAGGAACAUAAAUAAUUAAGUAUAAAUAUUAUUUAUCGCCCCAAAGUUGACAAGUGUAUGCUGCACAAUGUAGUGUUGAUUACAGCUAAUUGACAGGUGCUUGGGUGGCGCCCGAACAGGGACAACAAGUGAUUGAUGUGCGCCCAAGAGCAUAAUUUACGCCCGAAUCAAAUCGAUUAUAGGGCUGCAGUCCUUAUAGAGCUUAAUGCGCACACAUUUCCCACACGUAGUAGGUGGGCUUGGAAAAAUCCCAGCACUGUGUCAAGCGGCACUGUCAUAAAUCUGACAGAUGCCAAGUGGGUGAAAAAGGGUGCCCGAGCACAAACAACAAACAAUGGGUGAAACGUGUUGGGCAUUUGGCACGGCACCAAACAAAUGCCGAGCAAACCUCAGAUUUGCUGGGGAUUUGUUGUGAUGAAAGUCCUGAUGUCCAAACGAAAGUCGUUCCCAAAUGUUAUUAAAAAAAAAUAUCCAACAAUUUGUCGGCAAUUCGCUGGCGUAGAUUAGUGAUCCCAACUGUUUUACUUAAGCCACAGCUGUCGCUCGCAAUCACAACAGCAGAUAGCAUACAUUUCCGCGUUUCUUCCGAUUACCAGAUAGUAAAAUCCGGAAAACGCGGAAAUUGUGCCACGGUGGCUAUUUACGCCCACAUCCAUGGGCAAGUCGCUCUGGCGGGGCAUCGAAAUUCAAUUACCAGUUGGGCCACGCCAAUGCCAUUCCACGGCUUCAACUGAAUCACCACAAAAUACAUUUCACAUUCUGAAUGAACUAGAACAUUUCAAGAGAUUUACGGGUUUAGAAGGACUUGAAAAUGUGUUUUCAUUGAUUUGAGUUUUUAGUUGGCAAACUACGUUUACUCUAGUUACAGUGACUAAUAAAAAGGAAAUUCUAUCCUAAGUUCUUUCCCGACAAACUAGAAAAUCAUAGGAAUAAAGAGCACGCUCUUUGAGUUUGUAUAACAACUGCAAUUUUCUGAAAUGCUAAUAUUUUCCGUGCAAACACUCCAAUUUGGAUUAGGGUACUAACACCCGAAAACAUCGCUGUUACUUCGUCACUAGUCCAAUUGGUUGGCUUUGCCUUUUAAAUUGGCAAAAGCAGAAAAAACACCGGCACCUCCUCCUUCCACCCACGGGUAUGGCAUUUGCACGCUUCAGCGUGUAAAAAAUGUCGUAAAAAAUCGAUAGAAUCGUAUACGUGCAUUACAAACAGGCAUGAAUACAUAUGGAUGUACAUAUAUAUGUAGCAUGCCGCAUUUGGCGGCGUGCCUGAGCCUGCAAUGUAAACAAUUUUCCAACACCACCCACUCCAUUCACCUGCAUUUUCAGGCUCACUUUCGCUGGCAAUUUGCUCGAAUAGCCGCAACAAUUUGCCUAAAUAGGCGAGUCCCGAAAAUGUCACUUAGGCUUGAUGAAAGUUUUAUUGAUAGAAUUUGUCGGCGGGGCUGGGAAAUUAAGUCACCAACAUGGAGCCCAGCAAUUUGCAAGUUUCUAUAUGUAUGGACACGUGUGUGUCGGGCUUUGUUAAGCAGCAAGCAACCUUUAGUGUCUGUUCUAGCCAUAAUUAAAAUUCCGCGUUGCCUUCGGCGCGAUGUUUACUCAAGUGUGGAAAUCUCUCCCAGCUAGUGUCCUAUAAUUUCGACCAUGGCUGUUAGCCGUUUUGUGUAAGCCAAGGCUGGCACAGUGCGCUUAACACAAAUUUCAUUUGGCCUAACUGGUGUGGACGCCUGUAAGUAGGCUACACUCGUCGUGGGCCGAAGUCCUCAUCAUUGUCUCACCGCUGAAGGGCUCCUAACUAACGGAACCGAAAGCACUUAAGGCCAUGCAUUCCGGCUAUUUCGGAACCACUGAACAAGAGUGUUGGCCACGUUAGUAGAUUGCCUGCUUCGAGAUUUGUGUAAACACACAAGCUGCCGCCUGAUGAUGAGCACUGGGAAAUGAGAACCUACAGCCAUAGCACAAUUUUUCCACCAAACCAUUGAGCAAAUGAAUGUAUAGAAAGGAUUGCCAGCCGCUGAUGAUGAUGAAUGGCCAUAACUGGGUCGAUCUACAGCCUAGAUGGAUUUACUGGUGGUGUGCCGAGCUAAGCUGCUCGGAAUGACCUUGUCGGAAGGAUAAAGGAUGCAGUGACGAUGAACUAGAGCACAGAUGAAUAGCGAUUGCCAAUGAACUGAACAGCAUGUGAGCUAAGUGUUGAAAACCGAAACCGAUGAACUAGAGCGCAGAUAAAUAGCGAUUGCCAAUGAACUGCACAGUAUGUGAAUUAAGUGUUGGAAACCGAAAUUUAAACGUUGAAUUCAAAGAACAAAGCAUUACGAAUUAUGUACUUAUCUAGAAUAAACUCUAAGAUUGUUGAAUCAAACAAAAACUCCUAUAAGAUCAACAAUAGCUUAUAUGCUCUUCGAAAAUAACAAAGUAAAUGGAAAAAUAAAUAUUUUAUUACAUCACUUGAUUUGCUCAAUGAAAAUUAAUGCGAGCUGAGCCCACCCACAUGGCACUAAGCCCAUAAAACCCCAAACCGAAGCACAAACAAAAGAUUCUAGUCACCCAGAUGUGUGUGACUUUUGUUCGGGAAAACACUUCAAUUUACACGCCCACCCGGAAAAUUUGUAGGCGCGCUGGCGGAAUUGGAAAUGGAGUCUGGAACACAGAUGGCAAAAAAAAAACAAUUCUUAGGACAAAAGAAGGAAAAAAGGACACAGACAAUGCCGCAAUUGAAAAAGGAAAAAUAAAAGGAAGCCGAUUUGCAUAUGGGCAUUAAAUUUGUAUCCAACUCGAUGGCAGAUAAGCAUGAAUACCAGCAAAUGUAUUUCCCUGCAGUUAGAAAGUAAAGAGCUGACUAAGUUACAUUCCGAUUUCCAUAUCAUUUCGUCUUGGGGACUACCCCAAUUUUAUUUCUGCUGCUGCAUAAGUCACUUGGCCUAUCAAAACUUUAAAAGUCAUGCGCCUUAAAGGCUUCUCAAAAAAAUGUGUCAAUGACGUUUGCUGCUUUUUAAACACAAACCAAGCGUGAUAAUGCUGUUUCAAACUUUUUAUAAGGUUUUUUUUAACUGAGCACAUUGUUAAAUAAUCGAUACAAAGUUGUGAAAGACCUUGGUGUGUAUUUUUGAAAAGUUAACUUAUAAUACCUUUAUAAAUCUUUCAAAUCUUCACUGAGCUCAAUAGCCACCAAACGUAGCUUUCAGGCCCCAUUAAACUUUAAAGUAAUUUAAUGAAAUUGAAUAUUCCCUUAGUUUGCCCACGCAGAUUAUCUCUGCUUCUGCCCAAAAAUCUAUUCUAAUUGAGAAAUUGAAAUCUCUGUCCGUUGGCUGCGUGCAAACAUUUGCGUCAGCCAACGUCGCACAUUUCUCGCAUGCAAAGAAGCCCCAUCCAUGAUUGUGAUUGUUCAUUCCAAAGCCGUAAACAAACCAUCGAUUUGGAUUAGUUGCCUUUGCCAUCUGAAUUUUCCAUCAAAGCCGUUGAAUUUCGAGUCUUGCUAGAGCCAAGAUUUGCUGUAAAGUAACAACCUGACUUUGGCUUGGCAUUAAAAUUCAAUUAGGCCAUAAAACAGAACCAAGACCAAAGAUUAACGUUGGAGUGGAGUGCGUCCUUUCAGCAGCAGUGACGUAGGAUUUAAGGGAUUGUCCACGGCACGGAAUGUGACGUGAACCGCUUUCGGCACAGCUCUCUUUUUAAUUACGUUAAAAAUCUUGAAACACAAAUACAAUUAAUUUCGCGUGGCAUGGUGGGCAGAUAAGACUGCGCUCGUUGACCUUUGGCUGUAACCGCACCCUGGUUAUCAGCAUUAAAAGCAAUACUUUUGUGCUCCAAACGGAACAAAUGCGAUUGAGAUAGUGCCAAUCGGCUCAAGAUGGUGCCUCUACACGGAAAACGAGCUCUCAAAACUAUGUAAUGUGCCAGAUAACCCCUGGGUUCAUCCAUUCGAAUGGGAGAGGCCGGCAGAAACUGAUAAUUGACACAAUUAGGUAGCUCGUUUUGGGUGCCUUGAUGAGCUCACAAUUAGAACUGCUGGUCUACGAAUAGUUGUGCAAAACAAAAGACCCUAACACUUAAAUUAUCUCUGCUUGGUAACUAUUUAAACUUGAGUGCUUAAGCGAGGCAAUUAACGGAUUUGCAGCACGCUAAAUCCAAGGUAAACGUUAGUUUUUGUAUUAAAAACAAGACAAAAAUGUUGGAAAAACAGAAAAUAUAUAAUGAAAAAUAUGUAAACCCCUUCAGCAAAUGAUUGCAUAAACUUCAUAGCUAACUCAUCAAGUGCACAGCAAAUUCAACUUGAAUUUCAAGUGCCUUCUAAAAACUUGAUAAAGAAACUCGUGCCGUGGAAACUUCAACAUCGAAUUUAUAAAUCUUUCACAGAUGCUAUAACCACAGUUAAGUUUUGUGAACCACCCAGGCAAAACAAGUGCUUCGUUGCUAAAAUGGUAUUGGGUUUUUAUCGCUGAUAAAUAACCAGAACCCCUCGAACAACAUCAUUAUUAACUACAACGUCGACGGACCGGUUUAGAAAUUUAAAAUCCAAUUUGCAUGGGAUGCGAAACAAAAAACAAAAAAACAGCGACACAGACCAAAAGCCGUAAACAUUUAUGUACCAUACGCAAGGUUUCCUGGUCAGCAAAUUUUUCCCCCGAAAAAAUUAAUUGGUUUGAAGGACUUUACCACAAAAAACACACCCAAUUGCCACCCACAAACCUUGACCUUCCGCUGAGAAAUGUCCAAUAAAGUUGUUUGCCUUUGGAAAAAAAAUUUUCCUUCAUUUUUUUUUCCAUUCAGUGAGUCGUAUGCAUUAAUAAUAAAUAAACAAGGAAAGUGGGCCAAAGCUUGUAUAAAUAAAGGUGAAUGAAAGUUGGGCGUGCUUAAUAAAUUAUGAAAAUUGCUAGAUUAGAUUUAAAAUGUCUUCAUUUCAGUUCCAUCGAACUUUUGUUGAUAAGCAAAUUAUAAAAUACCAAAUAAUUCGGCACAAUCGUGUGACAUUCGUUGAUAAACACAAUAAUAUCUAUUAUAUGGCAUUAUCUUGCAGGCAUAUCAUUAGCUUACGUAUCGGGAAGCGCCUUAUUUCGAUAAGUGUUUACGUAAACAAAUUAAUUGGUUGGAGUAGACACAAUUAUCGCCUGAUGUCGAGACUCGGCUUAUCUUCGUACACACAUUUUCCUUUGUACAAUAGUGAUAAGAAGGAGCUCUUUGAGGAACCUCAAGUAAGUUAGCUUGCUUUACACAAAUAUCAUAAACAUGCAGUGUGAAUGGUGCAUUUCACCAACUGAAUGUUUCCAUCUAGAAUAGAGUAAUCUGUGCUUUACACAAAUAUCAUAAACAUUCAGUGUGAACGGUGCACUUCGCAAACUGAAUGUUUCCAUCUAGAACAGAGUAAUCUGUGUUCAGAGUUCUUCUUAUCAAAAGCGGAUGUUUUGAAGAACCUAGAUUUUCUUACAAUAUCAAAAUCAAGCAAGUACUUGUGUAUAUACUCUAUUUAUGUAUAAUUUAAUCCCCAUUCAAAAAAGAAACAAGGCAGUAGAGCCCAAUUAGUCAGCACAUUUUCCUGAUUGCUCAAGUUUUAAAGACCCCCUUACAUGUUGCUCGUAAAAUUGCUGAAAUAGGUUCAAUGAACUCCAAAGUUCUCAGCUUUAACCCUUCACUUUUCGCCAGAUUGAGCUGUGAAUUGUAUAAUAUAAAUAGCUGACAAAUUUUUUUUAAGUCAUUUGACCUGCCAAGUUUUGCAACAUUUUAAGUUAGCUUAUAGCUGCAUUUUAAUAGUCAAUUUCAAAUAUGAAUAUUUAGAUAGAUGUUCGCCUAUACUAUGCAAAUUUCUGUCGAACGUUGCCUCACAUUUGAGAUUGAAUUUUAAAUGCGAAUAUUUGGAUUUUCGGAUGUACAUACUAUAGAAUUUUUAAUUGCAGCUGAAUUUGAUAGCUUGUUAAGUGUGAACAGCUCGCGUUUUCAGGCGGGCUGACAAAUUGUGUAAAUAUUUAAGCGAAUACACGAAAAUUACAAAUAUAGAAAUGACUGUUCAUGCGCCGAGCUAACCGUUCGCAUACUAUAUUUACAUCUAUUGUUAAAUGCCUGGAAUGAAAGUGUAAAUUAUAUUGCAGACUUGUGUAGUCACGCCCCACUGACCUGACCAACUUAUUGAGUCAUAAUGGUAGCGUUUUUUUUGCGCGAGAAAACCUUUUUACGAAAUCUAACUCCGCUUUGUUGACUUUUGCCAUAAAGCAAACUUUAGUUAGUUGAAUAUGUAUGCAUAUAUAUUCUAUAUACGCAGUCUGAUUCACUAGUAAACUGGAAAAAACGCCCACAUCGCGAAAUAGUUUAUUGACUGAAAGUUGAAUGAAUAACUACUUAAUAAAAUAAAGCCAACGAUUUGUUACAAAAAAUAUUAUAUUUAGUAUAUGAAGUAAUGAUAUAAUGUAAUAAACUGCACCUAUAGAUGAAAAAUUUUACAGAUAAGAUAAAAACGACUUUACUUCCUACAUCAAAAGCUGAAAAAAUUCCAAAUAUCUUAUCUCAAGUGUAAGCUCUAUUCGCAUUAUCUAAACCACAAUUCUAAUCUCGAUUUUACAAUAAUUAAUCAGCGAUGAAUUCAAGCAAUGAGCUCAUGCAAAAAGAGCAGAAAAUGUUUCCAAUUAUUAUAUUUACUUUUAGUCGUGCCACUGUGUGAGUUUUAUGAUUAAUUCCUUGUUUAAUAUGCAUAUUUACGAUCAACAACAACACGUUGUCAAUUUUUACAAUAAACUCAACGGAUGUGUCAUCAUAAUCUGCUUCCCUUUGUUGGGAGUUUUUUUCUCUGGAAAUCACAUAUGUGAAAUAUAUUUCAAUCACGUGAACUAAUUAAUUGUAAUUGCCUGCAAUUUAUGAUAAAUUCACGAAAUAACUUUUAAUAGUUGAAGUGUUUCGUGCAUUUUGUUGUCCACAAAUUGCCAGUUGCACUCAAUUAAAUUUUUUUGCGGGGUAUGUUCAGUCGGAAUAAUAAUAAUUACGGCGUACGGAAAACAAAAAGUCGUGCAUAAAUUAAAAGCUACUUCCUAUCAUUGUUGUAGUCCCAAAACAUUCCUAUUGCACUAUUACUUAGCCUCCAGACUGACUGACUUUAUUCAUAAAACCCAAUGAAACUGAUCGCGUGUCUGGAAAAAAUGUCUGGCCACAAGGAAUCGUAAACAUCUAUAUAUAAAGAAUACAUAUUGUAUUGGGAUUAUUCGACCCAAAGCCUCGUUGCACAGCUGAUUCAACUUUGCUCGCCGGCAACAGUUUCCAGCUAAAUAAUUCAUUUAUUGAUUGCCACCCAGGCCAGACAAAUUGACGGCGUCGAUGAGGGCCACCAGUUGCUCCUAUUCUUUUUUUUGCGUUCACGUUUCACUUGGCUUGUUAAUAAAUUAUUAGUAGGAAGCCGUUGGGUCUCGAAAACCCACAACAGCAGCAGCUUUAAACGGGCUAAACAACCUGAAAAGCCACACAGAAGAAACCAGCUGGACAAAAGUAGUUGGCCCUGUUGUUAAAGGCCAGGCUAAGUUGCUGGCCUAAAAAUCCGUUUAUUCUGUUGAUUUAAAAUGACAAAUAUAUAUUUUGAACUAAAUAUCGAAGUACGUUCUGAAUAAACAAUAGCGCAAAUUCAA